CACGCCGUAAACGAUGAUCACUCGCUGUUGGCGAUACACAGUCAGCGGCAAAGCAAAAGCAUUAAGUGAUCCACCUGGGGAGUACGGCCGCAAGGCUGAAACUCAAAGGAAUUGACGGGGGCCCGCACAAGCGGAGGAACAUGUGGUUUAAUUCGAUGAUACGCGAGGAACCUUACCUGGGCUUAAAUGUAGAGUGCAUUUCACCGAAAGGUGGAUUUUCUUCGGAACUCUCUGCAAGGUGC
rnacentral:rRNA from 2 species